rnacentral:rRNA from 1 species
UACGUAGGUGGCGAGCGUUGUCCGGAAUUAUUGGGCGUAAAGAGCAUGUAGGCGGUUUUUUAAGUCUGGAGUGAAAAUGCAGGGCUCAACCCCGUAUGGCUCUGGAUACUGGAAGACUUGAGUGCAGGAGAGGAAAGGGGAAUUCCCAGUGUAGCGGUGAAAUGCGUAGAUAUUGGGAGGAACACCAGUGGCGAAGGCGCCUUUCUGGACUGUGUCUGACGCUGAGAUGCGAAAGCCAGGGUAGCGAACGGG